GAUGAACGCUGGCGGCGUGCCUAAUACAUGCAAGUCGAGCGAACAGACGAGGAGCUUGCUCCUCUGACGUUAGCGGCGGACGGGUGAGUAACACGUGGAUAACCUACCUAUAAGACUGGGAUAACUUCGGGAAACCGGAGCUAAUACCGGAUAAUAUAUUGAACCGCAUGGUUCAAUAGUGAAAGACGGUUUUGCUGUCACUUAUAGAUGGAUCCGCGCCGCAUUAGCUAGUUGGUAAGGUAACGGCUUACCAAGGCGACGAUGCGUAGCCGACCUGAGAGGGUGAUCGGCCACACUGGAACUGAGACACGGUCCAGACUCCUACGGGAGGCAGCAGUAGGGAAUCUUCCGCAAUGGGCGAAAGCCUGACGGAGCAACGCCGCGUGAGUGAUGAAGGUCUUCGGAUCGUAAAACCCUGUUAUUAGGGAAGAACAAAUGUGUAAGUAACUAUGCACGUCUUGACGGUACCUAAUCAGAAAGCCACGGCUAACUACGU
rnacentral:rRNA from 1 species